rnacentral:lncRNA from 1 species
GUCAGCUCCAUUGUGUACCAACAACUCAAGCACCUCGAGCUGUAAACCACAUGUCACUCACGUGUCCCCAACAGGCAGCUGCGUGAACAGGUUGCCAUUUAUCAUUGUCCACAACAUCGGUUGAAACGUGCUGAUCAAGAAGAAAUUCAACGACUCUGAGAGAAACAAAUCAAAGGCGAGGAAGGAUUUUGCCUCGCUACACUACCUUCGUCGAGAUCGUUUCUAGCCGCAGCUUCUAGAAGCAUAACGCUGUCGCUAAAAAAUAUGUGACGUUUAUUGCUUGGGUGUUUAUUCUGGUGACGGAGCCAUUCUUUUUCUCGAUGACGCCAUUGCUUCAGCUGCUGCAGCCUCCGAUGACGUGCCAAAUGGAGUCGUUCCUGAGUCGUCAAUCUCUCAAUGUGCAUCAUCUCUGCUACCAAGUCCGAGUGCUCCAUGAUGUAGGUGCGUGGCUGAUGUAGACCUGCCUUCUUCUAUCAUACACAUCGCGCCUGACUCUCAUCACGCAUCUACGACGUCAACAUCCAGUCUCACCGAGUUACAUAUUUAUACUUAUUUACUAAGCUGCCUUUGUCUGCGUAAGGUUUACAAGACCGAGAUAAUGUUUUGUGAAAAACAAGCAAGACACAGCAGCAGCGUAGCAAAGAUUCGAGAUACCACAGAAAUGAAAAUAUGCAGAUUUUUUUGCAUAACUAAGCAAUACGCAUAGACUUUCCAAACCAAGUGUAUUAAUUAAUUCAAUCUUCGUUAUCCCUUAAAACAUGUCUCGGUUGAAAACGGUAAAGACUAUCGAAUAAAUAUCACCUUGAUGGUGACGUACUUUUUUUUAGAUAAUGUAAAUCAAAAGAUCAUAAAGCAAAUGACCGUCACUUAAUUUUUACUCUAGAAAAGUUUUUUCUGUGAAAAGUGAUUGAAACCUAAUUAGCUAUUGGUGAGUAUAAAAUGGUAAAAUUAUGGCUAAAUGUUACAUCAUUGAUUUGCAAUUUUGUUUAGUAUCAAGUAUAUGAAUCAGUAUUAUAAUUCCGACGAACUAAUUUCGGAAGAAUUAAUUUAUGAGUAACGACAAAAUACUAGUAAUAUUUUUUCAAAAAGUAUAGAAUCAUAUGAUUUCAGAGUUGCGGAAAAAAUGUUGCUGAUUUCUCCUCAAAUGUAACUUACUAUGUAUUACUUCUAUUGAAGAUGCACAACAUUAUGAAACAAAUAUAUUUUCAAAGGAACAGAAAAUUACAUAAUUUGAAAAAUCAAGUUUUUUCUGUUAGCAAGUGUCAAUCAAAAAACUUACUAAGAAUUCAAUUCAAUGAGAAAACUUUAGGUCGUUACUUGCAUUUGCUACGUCUAUUUACUAUUCUUGAUAAUUAAUUCCUAGUUCAUGUAUCAUGUAGAAUAUCUAUAUUAGGCGAUAAUACGUUUCAUAUUGCCAAAUUUACUAACAUAGAAUAUUACUUGACACGGGUGGACAAUAGUUGUUUUUUUUCGAGUAGUAAUGUUUCAAGGAAAUUAUUUGUUCCUCAAAUAUUCACGUAAGCGGUGAAUCAUGAAACAAAAAUAAGAUAAUUUUAUAAAAACGUUUGUUUGUUACGGUUCUUAGAAGCUGCGCGUAAAAUUUCAUGUAAGCGAUAAGUUUCAUUACUCUCGCUAGAGAAUUGAAAUUUAAAUGUGCAGGGAUAGAUGUAACGUAUAUUCAAAUUUACAAUUAGAAUUCGCUACUAAUUCAACAACAAAAGCGCACUGACCGAUCAUUUUAUGCUGAAUAUGACGAAAUGACAGACUGAAAAAAGUGACUAGUCACCAGUCCUGUUAUCGGUAAGAAUCUAAAAUUAUCUGUGACGACAUAAAAGGACUAAAAUUCAGCACAGAUCAAAGAAAAAUUUCAACCCAUGUAAUUUAAUGUAUAUUUCAUUUGUAGAAAACGACGUGUACUGUUUCAAUUGUCUCGACAAUUAUAGAUUUUUCAGAAUAUCGAGGCUUACGGCUAUCCCGUCUUAGGUUAACUAUCCGAUUCUCACACUCUCUCCCCCUCUCUAGAGUUAGUUGUGUUUCAUAAAUGAGAUAAUUUUCUCCAUUCUGUACGAAUGAACUAUUUCUAAGAUGGUAAAAGAAUCCAAAGUUGACUAAAAUUGUUUCAAUUCAUGACACACUAGACACCCUCUAUCGAUACUUUUUCGCCGUUCUGAGGAUUAUCAACUUUCAUUUUUGCGAUUACUGUUUCUGCCAAUUUCUUGGACAAGACACGACCAGACAACUUAGAAAUUUCCAACGCUUCUCUUUAAGGAUGUACCAGACAUACACGACAGUGAAAGAGCUGUGAAGACGGAAAUAUCAUAUAACGAAGGUUUGGAAAUGCAAUUAAAGUUCAUCAAUUUAAAUUUCAUUGAUACAAUAACACAGAAAAAAAAAUUUUUAAAUCAAAAAUUUCAUCUAAACUAGCUGAUCUUUUGAUGGCUUUGAAGAAAUCUCAAUGUUUUAUCAUUCUCACAAUGAAAAAACUGUACUCAAUUUUAUAUGAACCAGGGCUCAUAUUUAACGUAAAUGAAUUCUCUAGAAAUCGAGAAACUCAUAUUUUUUAUUGGACUUCUCAUUUGAGGUAAAAGAAAAAAAAAAAAAAAAAACAUGCUUAGUGAAAUCAUUUCAAGUGACGAAUCGUAAACCAAUGCCUUAAUAAGAAAUGCUCCGUCAUUAUUCAAAAUCCGACUUUGCGGAUAUGUCGAGAAUUUAUUUAGAAACAAAACAAGCCCUAGAUCAUUAUAAUUGGUCAAACGACGCAAUUUAUUCGUCAUAGAAAUGAUUUGAUAAUGGAAUCUUUUCAAAGGUACCGACAAUUGUGCCAUUGUGGCUAAGAUUUAUGGUCUGUUAAACAUUCAAACCUUCGUUAUAUCAUAUUUCUCUCAUUACAACUCUUCAACUGGACUGUACUUCUAAUACAUCGUAAUGGAGGAUGGAGUAUUAAAAAUCGAUAAUUUAUAUUGAUUUUAUUAC